AAACAUGUCUUUUUGAAUUAAAUUUAAAGUCUGACCUGCCCACUGAAUAAUUUUAAAUGGCCGCAGUAUUUUGACUGUGCAAAGGUAGCAUAAUCAUUAGUCUUUUAAUUGGAGGCUGGUAUGAACGGUUGGACGAAGUAUAAGCUGUUUCAUAUAAAUUUAUAAUAGAAUUUUAUAUUUUAGUUAAAAAGCUAAAAUUUUAUUAAAAGACGAGAAGACCCUAUAAAUCUUUAUAUUUAAUAUAAACUAAAUUUUUUUGAUUUAUUUUAUUUUUUUUAUAUUAAUUAUUUUGUUGGGGUGAUAUUAAAAUUUAAUGAACUUUUAAUUUUUUAAAAUCAUUAAUUUAUGAAUUAUUGAUCCAUUAAUAUUGAUUAUAAGAUUAAGUUACUUUAGGGAUAACAGCGUAAUUUUUUUUGAGAGUUCAUAUCGACAAAAAAGUUUGCGACCUCGAUGUUGGAUUAAGGUAUAAUUUUGGGUGUAGCCGUUCAAAAAUUAAGUCUGUUCGACUUUUAAAUCCUUACAUGAUC
rnacentral:rRNA from 2 species